GAUGAACGCUAGCUACAGGCUUAACACAUGCAAGUCGCGGGGCAGCAUGGGGGUUGCUUGCAACCCCUGAUGGCGACCGGCGCACGGGUGAGUAACGCGUAUCCAACCUGCCCUUCACCACGGGAUAACCCGGCGAAAGUCGGACUAAUACCGUAUGUUGUCCAUUGACGGCCUCCGAUUUGGACGAAAGGCUUGGCGGUGAAGGGAUGGGGAUGCGUCCGAUUAGCUUGACGGCGGGGUAACGGCCCACCGUGGCUACGAUCGGUAGGGGUUCUGAGAGGAAGGUCCCCCACACUGGAACUGAGACACGGUCCAGACUCCUACGGGAGGCAGCAGUGAGGAAUAUUGGUCAAUGGGCGUAAGCCUGAACCAGCCAAGUAGCGUGCAGGAUGACGGCCCUAUGGGUUGUAAACUGCUUUUAUGCGGGGAUAAAGUGGCCCACGUGUGGGCUUUUGCAGGUACCGCAUGAAUAAGGACCGGCUAAUUCCGUG
rnacentral:rRNA from 1 species